rnacentral:lncRNA from 1 species
CCUGCACCAACAGCAGCACCGUGCUGGCUGCUGCAGCAUUGAGUUAACAGCAGUGGUAAGACGGCGACCAUCCCUUCCUUCCUUGCUUGUUUGCAACGAUUUAAUUUUCACCUAGCUUGCUAGACUGGUUUGGUUUGGGGGUGCUCUAAUCUGAUCCCUUGGAGGUGGAUUCACUUCACAUGGAUGGAAACGGAUGCCCUUUAUUUUGUUUAUUCUGUAACAAAUUCCAAUCAGAAGAAUGUUGUGUCAGUUCACUUGUACACAUGUAUAAAAUAGAGGGGGUAAUUCGGUUCAGAGCGAGACACAUGGAUAGUUCAACCCUGUUUUUUUGUUGCUUCUGACAACAAAUUCAUCAAGCAAGCCAGGCAUACAAUGCUACGACUCACUUUUGCUGCUACGUUCACUUGCAACCAGAACACCAGGCCUAGGCUACAACAAACCAGAACACCAGGCCUAGGUCACGAUUCAGCUGAACAGUAGCCUUUUCUUCUGUGUUUAGAGAAGAAAGAAGCCGGUACCUACAGAUGGCAGCAGUUACUCAGUUGAAUCCCAACCUCUGAGUGCAUAGAAUCUACAUUGAUGUAGUUAGCCAUGGAAUAUAGGUCACUGUAUGGCACCAACAGCAUGUGAACCUGCUGCUUGGCGUCUCUAGGGAUCUCCCCCUGGUGGCGCCCUGGGGAGGCGUCGCGAGGGCAUUGGAAACUGCUUAUAUUAUUGAACCUAAUUAUGUAUAAAAUCCCCAUGUUUCUCUUGCUUGCUACUCAAAGCAAGAGCUGGUUGUCCUAAAAAACUUGUGAUAUGACACCGAGGUACUUUUCCCUGUAUGCCAGUGGUGCUAUCUGCAACCCAUUUGCUGCUACUCCUAGCUUACUUUAAAUUUGACUUCCAGUAGGCUUUAAUAUACACAUAACUUUCCAUUAUAUUGUGUUUUUGUGCCAUGGGCGAUGUUGGCUAUCCUCUGUGUGUGAACAUUUAGCUUACUUUUGCAACUAACUAUGAUUUUACAUUUAGCUUGCAAUAAUAUAAUAGCUGAUCCAUUUCAUUCUGAAGUUAAUCUGCUACGUCGCCUCAAAUUUGCAGCAACGCUAUUGUUGCUUUGGAAAUGCUAUUGGAUCUUAUAAAGAUUUUUGGACCUAUUAUUCAUUCGACAUUGUCAGCUAGCUCACUCGUUGGAGUAGAUCUUUACGCCGGAAAGAGGUAUGCUCCCCAAAUUUACUCGAAGAAGGGAGCUGGGUGUUGCUAAGACAGAUGUUGUCAAAACUUGUGUUGCUACAAGUCUACCAAGGAACUCAGUGCGAGGUGGCAAGUUGGACACAAACUUAUGUUUUGCCGAAACGGUUGCCCUGAAACGAACCGCAUAAUUACUGCAGUCAUCAGUAGCAUAUUUACUCUAGCUGGAACCUAAUUCUCAUAUCCCAUUAAGCUCAUGUGCAUAAAUCAACUAGGUUGAAGAGUGCUAUCAAUUUCCUCAAGAAGACCAGUUGAGAUAUUAUAUGCAUGAUGUGGAUUGUUGAGUUUGCUUGGUUAUUGGAAUGCCAUGCCUGUGCAGAUCAGCGGGGGCUGAGUCCAGGGUGAGACCUUCAAGAUGGAUUUGUUGUUACCGUUAUUUUAGUUUGCGGGUAGAGGAUAUGAUUCCAGCAAGACCGAGACAACGACGAUGAAAGGUGAGAUUUAUGUUAAGGAAUAUUAGCAGAUGUUCACAGGAUCACUGGAAGCAUAUAAAGGUAUCCACAAGGAUAGUUGCUUUCUUAUCGACUCAGAAUUAAAGUAUAGUUAUAGACAGUCAAGAGUAGUUGUCUUUUUAUUUAUUCGAAAACACAGUGUACCUUUUGUGAUCGUAGCUGUAUGCAAUGAUCCAUCAUGUAUUUUUUUUUCUAAACCACAACCCCUAAUUGUUUGAUGUCAUGAAAUGUCUAUGUUUUUUGUUUACAUUUUUAAGUUAGCUUCCAUACUACAGUAAACUGAUCUCUUGCCUUUCUUAUAACACUGCAUAUCAACUUCAUACCUAAAUAUCUAUUUCCUUAUGACUCAGUCGGUAUCUAAAUAUUCUAACGUGUAUGCUCUAAAUG